CCUACAUUUCUCAAUUUCCCUUCCACCGACUCUUUCUCUUGCUGAUGCCUUUUUCUUCUUCCCCCUGUUAAUAUUUUGCUCAGUUUUUAGAUUUAGUCCCAUCUGGGUUCAUUUUUUUAAUAUUUAUGUGUUACCUUUGGCUAUUAUGAAGAUGGAGAAUAUCUUUUAUCUUUUAUCUUUUACCAUUUCUAAUUUUUUUAAUGUUACAAGGAUUGGUGAGUCUUAUGUGGCUACAUUAUUGAAUUGUGUCUAUUUAGGUUUUCAAAGUGUAUGAACUGAAAGUUUGAAAAAGAAAAUUGAAAGAUGGAAAAUUUGGGGUUUCUUUGGUGACUUAUCUAUCAGUUUCUCCUACUAAGAAGCAGGGAAUUGGACACCUUCUUUGCAUCUUCCUCUGUUUUCUCGGCUAUGCAUGUGUUUGGAUCCUGUUUUUAAUAUAAUUUUUUGGGCAUCUUGAACUUUUGGGCAGUAUUUUAUUGAAUGUUAUACAUACAUGUCAGUAGAUAUGUUUGAUUUACUCAUGCACAAUAUUUUUCUCACACAAUGUUCUUUAAUUGGGUUUAUCUUCUUCUUUUUCAAAAUUAUUACUCCUAUUUUAUUAUUUUUUGACGAGACUCUAUUAAACUGAAUAGUGUAUCGCUUACUUGGGUUUUGUUUGAAAUAUGAACUUUUGAUAUUACCGAAUAUUUUUGUAUUCAUUUAGUAGGAAUAUAAUGGUCCCAAAAUAUUGAUUUUUCAGAUUUUUCUUAAAGGAAGUUGUUAACUGAAAGUGGGGAAAGGAAUAUUGCUUCACUUGUACCAGGAAAAAUGUGCUCAGCAUAUCUGAUUCUAUACUUUGACCAUAUUUUCUCCUUAUAUUGCUUUUGAUUAAAAAGGAAAAUAAAGUCCUUACCGCAGCUUGCUUAUGACUUUUUAUCUUGUACAUAGAUGUUCCGGUGACUACUAUACGCGUGGAGCAAAAUAUCUUCUUUAGUUGGAUUGACAGUCCUUUGCCGAUCAAUCUGGUGUGCUGCGAUUGUAUUAAUUGAUCUUUUUGGUGCAUCUCUUCGAUAGAUGGUCAUGAUGAGAUGGUCGUUGCUUGUGGAUAUAAGAUGAAGUAUUUGUUGUCAACUGCAACUGUCCAAAUUUUAUCCAAUAUUUUGUAUUAGUGGGACUACCAACAUGAACACGAUUUAUCUGAUUGUUUUUAUCUUUCUCAUUCUCAUAGAAGCAAGCUAAAAAUGCAAUUGGACUAAUGAAGCUAAACAAAUGAAUGUGGUGUAUUAUGUUGUAAUAUUUAGUCAACGGAUGGUAUUGCUUCGUCAUUUUAUUUUUCGGGGGUAAUCUUACUACACAAGUAUGAAAUUAUCUUUCUUA